GUGCCUAAUACAUGCAAGUCGAACGAGUUCUCGUUGAUGAUCGGUGCUUGCACCGAGAUUCAACAUGGAACGAGUGGCGGACGGGUGAGUAACACGUGGGUAACCUGCCCUUAAGUGGGGGAUAACAUUUGGAAACAGAUGCUAAUACCGCAUAGAUCCAAGAACCGCAUGGUUCUUGGCUGAAAGAUGGCGUAAGCUAUCGCUUUUGGAUGGACCCGCGGCGUAUUAGCUAGUUGGUGAGGUAAUGGCUCACCAAGGCGAUGAUACGUAGCCGAACUGAGAGGUUGAUCGGCCACAUUGGGACUGAGACACGGCCCAAACUCCUACGGGAGGCAGCAGUAGGGAAUCUUCCACAAUGGACGCAAGUCUGAUGGAGCAACGCCGCGUGAGUGAAGAAGGCUUUCGGGUCGUAAAACUCUGUUGUUGGAGAAGAAUGGUCGGCAGAGUAACUGUUGUCGGCGUGACGGUAUCCAACCAGAAAGCCACGGCUAACUACGUGCCAGCAGCCGCGGUAAUACGUAGGUGGCAAGCGUUAUCCGGAUUUAUUGGGCGUAAAGCGAGCGCAGGCGGUUUUUUAAGUCUGAUGUGAAAGCCCUCGGCUUAACCGAGGAAGCGCAUCGGAAACUGGGAAACUUGAGUGCAGAAGAGGACAGUGGAACUCCAUGUGUAGCGGUGAAAUGCGUAGAUAUAUGGAAGAACACCAGUGGCGAAGGCGGCUGUCUGGUCUGUAACUGACGCUGAGGCUCGAAAGCAUGGGUAGCGAACAGGAUUAGAUACCCUGGUAGUCCAUGCCGUAAACGAUGAAUGCUAGGUGUUGGAGGGUUUCCGCCCUUCAGUGCCGCAGCUAACGCAUUAAGCAUUCCGCCUGGGGAGUACGACCGCAAGGUUGAAACUCAAAGGAAUUGACGGGGGCCCGCACAAGCGGUGGAGCAUGUGGUUUAAUUCGAAGCAACGCGAAGAACCUUACCAGGUCUUGACAUCUUUUGAUCACCUGAGAGAUCAGGUUUCCCCUUCGGGGGCAAAAUGACAGGUGGUGCAUGGUUGUCGUCAGCUCGUGUCGUGAGAUGUUGGGUUAAGUCCCGCAACGAGCGCAACCCUUAUGACUAGUUGCCAGCAUUUAGUUGGGCACUCUAGUAAGACUGCCGGUGACAAACCGGAGGAAGGUGGGGAUGACGUCAAAUCAUCAUGCCCCUUAUGACCUGGGCUACACACGUGCUACAAUGGAUGGUACAACGAGUUGCGAGACCGCGAGGUCAAGCUAAUCUCUUAAAGCCAUUCUCAGUUCGGACUGUAGGCUGCAACUCGCCUACACGAAGUCGGAAUCGCUAGUAAUCGCGGAUCAGCACGCCGCGGUGAAUACGUUCCCGGGCCUUGUACACACCGCCCGUCACACCAUGAGAGUUUGUAACACCCGAAGCCGGUGGCGUAACCCUUUUAGGGAGCGAGCCGUCUAAGGUGG
rnacentral:rRNA from 2 species